UACGUAGGUGGCAAGCGUUGUCCGGAUUUACUGGGCGUAAAGAGCGCGCAGGCGGUCGUUCAAGUCGCGUGUGAAAGCCCCCGGCUCAACUGGGGAGGGUCACGCGAUACUGAUCGACUCGAAGGCAGGAGAGGGUAGUGGAAUUCCCGGUGUAGCAGUGAAAUGCGUAGAGAUCGGGAGGAACAUCUGUGGCGAAGGCGACUGCCUGGACCAGCACUGACACUGAGGCACGAAAGCGUGGGGAGCAAACAGG
rnacentral:rRNA from 1 species